CCCUUAGAUGUUCUGGGCUGCACACGUGCUACACUGGCAGGUUCAGCGAGCUUCAUGCCCUGAUCUGAAAGGAAUGGGAAAUCUUUUCAAAACCUGCCGUGCUUGGGAUAGAUGUUUGCAAUUAUUCAUCUUCAACGAGGAUUGCCUUGUAAGCGCACGUCAUCAGCGUGCAUUGAAUACGACCCUGUAUUCUGUGCACACCGCCCGUCGCUCCUACCGAUUGAAGUUUUCGGUGAGUUGACAGGAGGAUUUUUUUGAAACUGGUUCGCCAGUGGAUUUUAGAUCCAAAUGCCAACGAAUCGAUGGCUUUAGAGGAAGGAGAAGUCGUAACA
rnacentral:rRNA from 1 species